UACGGGGGGAGCAAGCGUUGUUCGGAUUUACUGGGCGUAAAGGGCGCGUAGGCGGCCACCGCAAGUCGGUUGUGAAAUCUCCGGGCUUAACCCGGAAAGGUCAAUCGAUACUGCGGGGCUAGAGUGCAGAAGGGGCAACUGGAAUUCUCGGUGUAGCGGUGAAAUGCGUAGAUAUCGAGAGGAACACCUGCGGCGAAGGCGGGUUGCUGGGCCGACACUGACGCUGAAGCGCGAAAGCUAGGGGAGCGAACGGG
rnacentral:rRNA from 1 species